GGGUAGAACAUCGAAACAAGGCUUCCUCGCAUCAUAAUUGUUUGCUCGAGUUCCGUGCUAAAAUCAGGCUGCCAGAUUGAUCCAAAGUAUUAAUUUGUCCAAUAGGAUGCAUAAGGCAGCCACUGCUGCUCUCGUUUAAUGCCGUCAAUAAAUCCUAUCGCCUAUUUUAACUUUGCCAUUCCGAGGCCCACAACAUCUCACCAUUUUUAUCUCGUCACUUUUUUAGACAGCACGCGAAAAAUAAAGAAACUGAAAUUCAGACAGCUCUAUCAAUUUUUUACAAAGCAAGCAAGGAGUUCUACCUGUAACGCAACCUCUUAUUCCAACUUUUAAAAUCUCAAAUUAAACCCAGAGCAUCAGCUGAUUUCUCACAACUUCCCCAAAAACAACACCCUCAGCUUCCUGAAUGUUGGUUUCAGAUCCACCCGAAACCAGUCGUUUUUUCCAUUCCCGUCCCAAUUCCGCCACCUCUAUGAGCCCGCAAUCGUCGCCUAGUCAAUCACCCCGACUCGGUUCAUCUAGGUUAAUAAACAAUGACUUGUGUUUCAAUAGUCAACACAGCAAGCCGUUUUUGUUGUCAAUUUUCUUGGGUUUGCGGGAUCAGCAACAGAGGCUAGUAAAUAGGACGAUGAAGAGGAAAGUAGGGAGGGUGUGCCAUCAGAGGAAGCGGGUGAAGGGACUGUUGGGUGUGAUUGGAUUAGUGGGUUUUUUUUUCUUAAUUAAUUGGUUCAUGCUUUUGCGGCUUCAAGACCAUCGGAUCGCUGACCUCCAAAACCAUUCUUCUCAAAAUUCUCCUCCUUCGCUUUUGGUUUCUAAUAAGGAAAAAUGGAGAAAGGUAAGCAAAGGAAAAAGGUUGCAAAAAGGUACUUAUGAAAGGAUGUUGGCUUUGGCAUCCCAUGCUCUGGCAGAGAAUAAACGUGAGCCUAAAGAUUUGUGGAAGGAGCCGUUUGCUGAGGCCUCUGCUUGGAUACCUUGUGCUGAUCAACGUAACUGGGAUCCUAGUGGGGGAAGUAAUGGUUAUAUUUUGGUCACAGCAAAUGGUGGGAUGAACCAGCAGAGAGUAGCUGUUUGCAAUGCUGUUGUCAUUGCACGGUUGCUGAAUUCAACUCUUGUUGUUCCUAAAUUCAUGUAUAGUAGUGUUUGGAAAGAUGUGAGUCAAUUCAGCGAUAUCUAUCAGGAGGAGCAUUUUAUUAAUUACCUGACUCCUGAUAUUCGGAUAGUGAAGGAACUUCCUGAGGAGCUGCAAUCACUAGACUUGGAGGCGAUUGGUAGUGUUGUGACUGAUGUAGAUAUUCAGAAAGAAUCCAAGCCAAGCUUUUAUCUGAAAAAUAUUCUUCCUAUUUUGCUGAAAAAUAGAGUUGUCCAUUUCAUUGGAUUUGGGAAUCGCUUGGCAUUUGAUCCAAUACCAUUUCAAUUACAGAGACUUCGAUGCAGAUGUAACUUUCAUGCACUGCAAUUUGUUCCAAAAAUACAACAAACUGGUGCUUUGCUCCUUCAAAGGUUGCGUAAAUGUGCAUCUCAUCCAGGACAAUUGGAUCAUCAUCUUGUGGGUCCCUACACAAAAUCAAAUGUGAAAGAAAAAGGGGGUCAUGCUGGAAAACCUUCAAGAUUUCUGGCUCUACAUCUGAGGUUUGAAAUUGACAUGGUAGCACAUUCUUUAUGUGAAUAUGGUGGUGGCGAAGAAGAGAGAAAAGUAUUGGAAGCAUACCGUGCAAUUCAUUUCCCUUCAUUGGCGCAUCUUGAGAAGACAAAAGGGCUACCUUCUCCAUCUGCGCUCAGGUCAGAAGGCCUGUGUCCAUUGACACCUGAAGAGGCAGUACUUAUGCUUGCUGCACUUGGUUUCAAUCGGAAGACACAUAUAUUUGUUGCCGGUGCAAAUAUAUAUGGGGGACAACGCAGAUUGGCUGCUUUAACCAGCUUGUAUCCUAAUUUGGUUACUAAAGAGAAACUGCUUUCAGCAACCGAACUUGAGCCAUUCUCAAACUUUUCAUCUCAGGUCGUUUCUUAAUGAGAGUGUAAGACACAUCCCAUGAUCAUGAAUGUUGCCUUCUGAUCAUCUGAAAACUAAAGAUCAGGAAUAUUUGGAGUUCCUAAGUUGGAUAUCAGUACUUCCUCAGUUCUCUUGAAAAACUUGCUGGCUGAGGGAUUUGCCCAUUUUGCAAUCUGUGGUCUUAUUUCAGCCCUCUAUUCAGUUUGCUACCAAUAACUGUAGGGGUCUUCUCCUCUAGUAAUCUCGCUGUUACCAUUAGAAUGCUAGCUGCACUGGACUUCAUAGCAUGCACUGCUGCUGAUGCAUUUGCCAUGACAGACUCGGGGAGUCAGCUGUCCUCUUUGGUGGCUGGAUAUCGAACAUAUUAUGGUGGAGGGAGAAUGCCAACAAUACGGCCAAACAAGCGGAGACUUGCAGCCAUAUUCAUGAAAAACUCCACUAUAGAAUGGAAAGUGUUUGAGCAAAG